GCUGGAGCCACAGCUGUAGAAGCGGCUGGUCGAAACCAGGAGAUGACCUUACUGAAUCAUCAGAGCUGAACUGGUGAUGGAGAAACAGUGUCAGUGUAGCAGAAAUGAUGACGGAUGAUGAUGGCAGCAGCAGCCGUUCUUCUCUGCAUACUCCCUUCACCCUGGCCAAAAAGGCUAAAAUGUCUAAAGAAAAAGUGGAAAACAGCUAAACAUGAGAGGUUUUUGGACAAAGUUUGUUUUGUCCAUUGUUUAAGCACUGCUUCCAGCCAAGAGUGAUACCAUAAAUCCCCUAUAGCUGCAGAAAAGGCUAACAUUGUUAUCUUUUUACAAAAAAAACAGCUGAACAUGAGAGGUGUUUGGACCAAUUUUGUGUUUUCCAGUAUUUAAGCACCGGUUUGAGCACCGUUUAAGCACCGGCACCGUUUCAAAAGUACCGGUUUGGUACUGGUAUCGGAUAAAACCUAAACGAUACCCAUCGCUAUUCUUUUAUUUAUAUUGCUUUUGAUUUGAUUUGUUUUAUUUAACUAUUUUAUUACUUUUUAUUACUUUUUAUUACUGUACUUUAUUAAUGUAUUCAAAGUUUUUAUAUUUGAGCUGCUG
ensembl:lncRNA